AUUGUUGAACAACAAGCAGAGUGGCAAAGAGAACGAGAAGAAGAGCGAGUUGCUAGGGAGAAACAGCUUGAGGAGGAGCGUGUAGCAAGGCAGAGAGAACUUGAGGAGGCUAAGCAAGCAAUGAUGCAUGAUAUUAUGAAUGAGGUUAGGCAAUCAAUGAGGUCAGAUGUUGUGCAGAUAUUGGAAACUCGACACGAAGAUGCACAUCAGUUUUCCCAAGCAAGGGAUGCUCCAAGAAACGGAACUGGAAAUCAAUCAAGUUCUAAGUU